AUAUAUCAAUCUCUUCAGCUUUUGCUUUGUCGAGUAUUGGAUGUGGGGGUUUUAUUUUGCUGGCUUUCUUUUGAAGGUCAGCUCCCCUGAAAUGCAUUAGCAGAACAAUUUGUCGACCCGUUCAUUGGUGUGAUAACUAUCUACGCUAUUGACGUGAGGCAGUUCAGCUUCUAACAGUCCAUUGACUUGGACAACUUUUUAUUA
rnacentral:misc_RNA from 1 species